CUGCAGAAUUUCUUCUGCGUAAAACCCUAACAAAAUUUUGAUCGUCGACCAUGAAGCGAGUGUGGAGAUUCUCUUCAGACGCAACGCGAGUUCAGUUGUUGCUCUUCCAACCCCACCUCAAUGGAUUCUCCAAGCCCAAACCCAUUCCCUCCUUCUCCUCCGCGCUAUCUUAUCGCCAACUCAAGACGGUGUCAAACUUGUUCUCUGACAUCAUUCCAUUGUUCACCGUCAAGGCUAGUUCUUCAAUCAAAGAGGACCUCACCAACAACGUCACGAUUCUCAGGGAUGAGCUAAUUCGGGAAUCCUCCGACUCUGUUCGGGUUCAGAGCAUUUUGGACGAUAAUUAUGACCUUCUCAAUCGCCGCUAUCCCAAGGGAUAUGCUUUCUUCGAACUUAUGUCAUGCUUGGAUUCAAAUCCUUCCCUCGCUCUUCAGGUGUUUAAUUGGAGAAGGAAAAGAUGUAAUGCUGAAAACCCUAUGGAUGCGAGUGAGUACUCAAAGGGUAUAAUUACUGCAGGUAGAUCUGGGAAUAUUAAUUAUGCUGUUAAGCUCUUUAAGGAGGCUGCUACAAAAGGUCUCAAGACGACCGGCACUUACAAUGCGCUAAUGAGUGCCUUCUCGUUCAAUGAUUUUGCUGAUAGCUGUCAGACCUUGUUUUGUGAUCUGAAGAGGGAUCCAACUUGCGAUCCUUCUAUUGUCACAUACAACAUUCUCAUAUCUAGUUUUGGUAGCUUGAUGCUGGUUGAUCACAUGGAAGCAACAUUCUGUGAGAUACGAAAGUUAGACCUUGCCAUGAACAUCAGCACUUAUAAUAACUUAAUUGCUGGAUAUAUCACAGCGUGGAUGUGGGAUGAUACGGAAAAGGUGUUUCAAAUGUUGAAGUCGAGCCCUGUCCAGCCUAACAUGAAAACCUACCUGCUAAUGCUUCGCGGGUAUGCAAAUUCAGGUAAUCUGGAAAAGAUGGAAGAGAUGUAUUCCCUUGUAAGGGAUCAUGUAAAUGAAAAUGAAAUUCCACUAAUCAGAUGUAUGAUAUGUGCCUAUUGUAGAAGUUCUGACUCAGAUAAAGUUAAGAAGAUAGAGUUGCUAUUGAAGUUUAUUCCAGAAAAGGAGUACAGACCAUGGUUAAAUGUGCUGAUGAUUAAACUCUAUGCCAAGGAAGACUUGUUAGAGAAGAUGGAGAAUGCUAUAAAUGAGGCAUUUGAACAUGGAACAUCCAUUAGAACCAAGAUUAUCAUGAGAUGCAUUAUUGCAACUUAUUAUCGGUGCAAUGCUGUAGAAAAGCUAGAAAAUUUUGUGAGACGAGCUGAAAUCUCUGGGUGGAGUACCUGCCGCUCCUUAUAUCAUUGUAAACUAGUCAUGUAUGGGUCACAGAAGCCCUUACAUGAAUUGUAUCGUGUCCUUGAGGAGAUGGAAAAUGUCAAGCUUGCUUGUACAAAGAAAACAUUAUGGAUAAUGCACAAAGCGUAUACCAACCGUGGUCAGAGUUCCAUGGUUUUGAAAACACUGGGUCUAAUGUUCAAACAUGGUUAUCAAUUUCCUUUGGAUGCAUUUCCGUCGUAAAGUAUAUAUAUAUCCUGGAGUGAGAUUAUGUCUCUAGUGAUAUUGUUGAUACGAAGUCUAAAGGUGGAACCGCAAACUUCCAACCAGCACAUAGACCCUGAUGUUCCAGGAUCUACCAUUCAAGUUGUAUCUGGAACAUUUUCCAGGGUUUGCUCUCUCUCGAAGCUGAAUUACAAAACCAAAAUGGCCACAGUGCAUUUUACUCCGGGAAAGAGAACUUAGUACACAUAGAUGAUACUGAAAUGCUGAAAUUGCUCCACAGACAAAUUGAUUCUUAGGUUGAGCUUGGGUUUGUACUCUGCACACAUCAAUGUUCCCAUUUAGGGGACUACGUGACCCCAAAGUGGGCACACCUUAUCGAGAUGUCUUCUCGAGUGCUUGUGAAUCCAUGAGCAAUUCACUGAAUCCAUUUUCUGUUAAGUAAUGUGCGAUGUCUUCUUGAGUGCUUGUGAAUCCAUGAGCAAUUCACUAAAUCCAUUUUCUGUUAAGUAAUUUGCUAUGUCUUCUCAAGUGCAUGUGAAUCUAUGAGCAAUUCACUGAAUCUAUUUUCUGUUAAGUAAUUUGCUGUUUGUGAUUCUGUGUUCAGUUUUGGCAUACAAAUUUAUGUUUUCUGCCUUUCAGUUCUAAUGCCUUUAAGUUCCACUUGCUGCUUUAAAUGUUUAUCGCUUAGUUUGUGUUGUUGUGAUAGUGCUUGAGCUUGGUUCAUGUGUGCACACGAUCCUGGUUCCUGUUAGGAAUCUAUAUGAUCCCAAAGUGGGCAUAGCUUUACGGAAUGUCUUCUCGAGUGCAUGAGAACCCUAUUUUAAUCACUAACUCAACUUUUACUUGCACGCUUGUUCUGUAGUAUUUAAAUCUGUUUUUCUCUGUUGCCAUUUUGUUCUUGAUGUUUGAUCCUGCACCAGUUUAUUCAUGCCUUCCCUGCCAUUGCUUAAAUUCCCUGUAGUAGUUAUUUGGUUAAUUCAUGAAUCCCAAUAAUGUUUUUUUUUCUUAGUGCUUUCUGUUCAAGAAUUUGGUAGCAUUUGUCAUUUUCGUUUCUAUGCAUUCUGGAGUAAAGAAAUCUGAUUGGUAGUUUUAUUGGUGCCUCAUUGUAAAAAAAGAAAAAAAAUGUUCCAGAGCAUAUUCUGUUUGCACUGAUGCAGCCUUAAAAUAUCACGUUGGGUUUCCAAUUUGAUACUAUUGCUUGUCUUAACUAGUCACUUGGAAAGCCCAAAUUUUGUUUCCACUCAUGCAGUGCAUUUCUAAUUCUUGAUUUAGCAUUUUGAGUUUAUUUGAAUUCAUGCACGAGCUUUAUAAAGUCAUUCUCCAUUUUCAUAUUGCAUCUACAUUGCAUUUGUAUUUCAAUUCCCUGUGGCUGCAUAACACCUUAAAUGUCCAGUUUUCAUGCAUAUAGUUUGCAUUCAUUUAGGAUUCAUGCAUUCUUUGUAGUUUCUGCAUAAUUAAGAUUUUCUUAGUAGCAUUUUCAUGCAUAUAGAUUGUUUGCAUAGUGGUUAAGGAAUCAAGAUGCAUAGAAAAACCUCGUUUAGCACUUUUCCAAAUCUGAAUUACAUGCAUUAUAAUUCUCCUCAUAAUCUGAUUUUGCUGAUUUAGUUUUGCUGCUGUCAUAAAUUGUUUUACUGCUGUAAUGCUCUGGUUCAUUGAUGUUAUGUGCUGGUUUAAAGUGAUUUUGAAUUCUAAAUGCAUGUGGCUUAGUCUUAUUAGAGUGUGGGCUGACCUUGAUCACAAAGCAAAUUGAUCCGAGUAUUAGUUUUACAAUGACCUAUUCUGCCACUCAGGUUUCAUGUGUAUUAUACAAUGCUGUCACGUGUAUUCUGCAUCAUUCCUGUUUAGAAGAGUGCAUCCGUGAAACAUUUUUGAAUACAUAGCUGGGUUUGUUCUGAUUUUUCCUGCAUAUUUUGAGCCUGUGUGCAUCAUAGUAGUUCAAUUACAAGCUAAAAAUACAGCUAGUAUUUCUCUGGUAUGAUAGUGAAACUUUCUGCAAAUCUGCAUGCACAUAUGAAAAGGGACCAGGCUGUCACUUUUACAGUAGCUACACACAGGUUUUGCAUAUUGGUUUAGUCUUGCUGCUGCAUCAGUUAGAGCAUGAUUCAUUUUUAUGAUUAUUCCUAGAUGGAGCAUAGCAUGUGAUUCUUGUUUUGAUAUGAAGAACACUGCACCUGAAAAUGAGCUGCAUUCCCUUGCCACUGUCAUGCACUGACCAAGCUGUCAUAGAUCAGAUUUCCACUGGCAUUUGGUUUCAUGUGUACUUCCAUCUGCAGUGCACGCACUGCUGAGAUUCUCUGCCACAUAUUAGAUUCAUUCUAUUGAACAUUCUGCAGUACCAAAUUGUGCACUAACUGCUGUCACAGAUUGGUUUAAUGGGGCAAUCUACUUUCAUGCAUAGUUGUAGCUAUUCCACCUGCAUUUCUGGGCCUGUUCAAUCAUCACCAUUUUAUUUCAUGAAAAAGCAUCCAUGCAUCCACAAUGCAUUGCUAUGUCUAAAUUUAACUUGAUGACUCUUUUGCUAUAUGGUGUUGGUUCUCUGCUUUUUUGUUGUCACGUGCUGGUUUAUUGAGGCCACAUUGUGUCUGGGUCUGCAUAGCAUCAUAGACACAUUCUGGUGUGGCUGUGACACUGCUGAAUUGCACCAAUUUAUUGAUAUCAUGUGCUGACUGAAAGUGACCUUCUAUACCACAUCUGCAUUCACUUAUCUUACUGCUGCAAGGUCUUGUUUGUUUGCUACCAUAUAAGACUGGAUUAUGAUGCUAAUUUUGGCCUGCAGUAGCAAUUUAUAAAUCUGAAGCUGUUUGGCUUGUGCUCAUCACGAUAGGAACAUUUAACAUUAGGUACAUGCUGAAAUAGGUUCUACAUAUCAGUUUAGUCUUUUUACUGCAUCAGCUUAGAAUUUCAUUCUUCUUGCCUUCAUUCAACUAGAUACUUCAUUCCAUUUUAAAUUCCGUUUUCAUUCCCAUUUAUUCCUUGCAUUCUGCUUUUCACGUUUUCUUUUCUAUAGACUUAACCCAUGCAUUACAUUCAUGCAUAGUACAAGAUAGUUCGACCAUGCAUCUAGAUUACUUUUAAUUAAUAAAUUAUACACUUUCACUUUUUGAACUUAAAUUCUUUUCCCCUCUUUUCAAGCUUUAAUUUAUUUUUAGCAAGAUUUGAUUAUACAAGCUAAGCUUAACACACACCGAUUCCUUGGAUUAGAUACCAAGGUUUCCCUAUUCUUCAUUAGGGAGAUUUUGGUUUUGUUUACUGCGCGACUAAAACUGAGUCAACAAAAUGGCAGUUGCCGGAGAAAUGGCGACUUGAAUUUUAGUUUGCAUAGUUUAGUCUUGCAUUCAUUUUUGUUUCUUUUAGCAUUCUGUUUUCUUUGCAUAAAAUCUUCCAAUUGAGAUAAUCUUUGUGCAAGUUCUGUGCUUUUUUGGGAAUAAUUGUUUUCUGAAGUUGAUCCAGGUUCAAGAUAGGUGUGAACUUUCAAACUGCUGUACCAGUAUGUAUACCAGAGUUUUUUGAGGAUAUGGUUGUACCAAGUGAAAUGGAAAUGGUUAAUUCUCAGGUAGCCUAUCAAUCUGAAGACACUCAGAGCUCACCAGAUUUAGCAGUCAGCAGUUAUGAUUUCUUGUAUAAAUUGAUCAAGAGGCUACUUAAGUACCAUGAAGUGGCCGGAGAAGAUCCACACAUGCAUUUGAAGGAGUUCCACGUGGUGUGCUCAACAUUUAAACCAACUGAAAUUGCUGAAGAUUGGGUCAAAUUGAAGGCAUUUCCUUUUUCUUUAAGGGACACAGCCAAUGAUUGGUUGUAUUACAAGACUUAUUCAACGCCAAUCACUUCAUGGACUGAAAUGCAGAGAAGUUUUCUGGAGUUCUUCACAGCCUCAAUGGUGUCAUUUAUCAGGAAGCAAAUCUGCACCAUUGAACAAGGACAAUACGAAGAGUUGGAUCACUACUGGGAGAGAUUCAAUAGCCUCUGUAUAGCCUGUCCAAAUCAUCAAAUUUCAGUUCUUGUUUACAGUUUUCAAAUGUUUGAUUGUUUAUGAUUCAAUUGUAUUUUAAGUUUUUUUGCCUUUAAAUUCAGUCCUUUAAAUCCCUUUACAGAUUUCUAUUGUUAUCUCAAUUUCAUGUUUCUGAGUUAGAGAUUUAAGUAUGGGUGGAAUUUGCACAGUUCAAUGUUCUCUCUUGGGAACCAAGUGACCUCAAAGUGGGUACAAAGUUACGAGAUGUCUUCUCGAGGGCAAAAGAAUCCCAGCUUGAGCACUACAUCAGUUUUAAGAUUUGUCUAUUCUGCUUUGUGAAAUUCUGAUUUUUCCUUGUUGGCCAUUUUACUUUGCUGUUUUGUGAUUCUGCACCACUUUGCUUUUUCUUUCUUUGCUUUGAGUUUCUACAGUAGUUAGUUAGUAUUUCGUCCAUAAGUUUUAGUAGUUUUCUUUAGGCUUUUAUAUUCCAGCACUUGAGUAGCGUCAAUUAUGUUAGUUUCCUUCCAUUCUGGUUUAUUUAAAUUCUGAUUAUUAGUUUUUAGUAGUGCAUCAUGGGUAAAUUUGCUAGUCUCCAUGCAUAUUUAGUUUUUGGCACCUGCAUCUGCAUAUUUUAGUUCUUUAUGAUUGAGCAGUCGCAUCAUCAUUUGAGAUCCACUGCUGCACUCUGGUUUCAUACAUUUUGGUAGCUAGUUUCGCCUGCAUUUUAGGAUUCACUCAGUCAUCACCAUUCUAGAUCAUGAUAGAGCGUGCAGGCAUUCAUAUUCUCCUGCUGUGAUUAGGCAAGUUUUCAUUGCAUCUGAACUAAUUCUGUUUUUGGUUGGCUGCGGUGAUUUAAUCUUGAAUCUGUCCAGAAAUUCAUGUGCCCCCUUGGAUGGAUUAUAUCUCUAGAGUUAGCUCUUAAUUUGGCAACUUUGCAUCAAAUUACAUGAAUUACAGAGGUACGUGUAAGCAUUGCUGCAGCUGAUUCCUUAUACAUCUGUGAAUUUGGAUUCAAGUGGCAUGUUUUGAAUGAUUUGCAGGUCUGAAUUCAUGUGAUCGGUAGUUUUGAUUAAAUAUUGCAUUGCAUAGCUAGUGAAACUGUCAUGAGUUUGCUUAUUUCAUUAGCAUUUCACUGCAACAGAUUCUGUGUAUGCAUAGGUGCUGAUUUUACAUGUGCAUUGCAUCAGGUUGGCUGUAAAAUCACAUUGCUGCAGGUCCCAUUCAUUCCUAGCAUUUUAACAUUGAGUUCAUUUAUUUUACUGCUGCAAGGCAUAAUUUUUCUGUUGCCAUAUGAGUUUUGGUUUAUAAUACUAAUUUUGGCCUGCAGUAGUAACCUAUCAUGCCAAUUCUGCACACACAUACUCAUUUAUAUAGACACAUUCUCAUUACAUUUCAAUCUAGUUUCUCAAUCCCAUUUAUCUUUGUCAUUCUGCAUUUCAAUUGCUGGUGGUUAUUUUCAAUAAGUGCAUUUCCAGCAUGUUAUUUUUCCUUGCACUUUGCAUAUGCCUCUGCAGUUUUUCUGCAUAAUGAAGCCAGUUGAACCUACACUAUGUAUUUGUUUCUGUUAACGUUCACUGCUGUCACAGAUUGGUUUAAUGGGGCAAUCUGGUUUCAUGCAUACUUCUAGAUAAUUCCAUCUGUGUUUGUAGUUCUGUUCUGUCAUCACCAAUUUAGUUCAUGAAAGAUCCAUGCAUCCACAUUCUGGUUUGGUUGUGACGCUGCUGAAUUGCCCCAAUUUAUUGAUAUCAUGUGCUGACUGAAAGAGACUUUCUAUACCACAUCAGCACCCAUUUAUGUUAGUGCUGCAAGGUUUUAUUUUCUGCUGCCAUUUACCACUUUUGUACCUGUGACAGCCUAGGAUACACUCAUUCACGCAUAUCAACUUGUCCUUAUGUCAAGCUCAUUUUGCAUUUAGUUUUAGCAUGAUUCAUGAUCCAUAAUCAUUUCUUAUUUGUGCAUAUUCACAUAGUGCUCAGAAUUCCUAUUUCACUUAGAUUUUUCCCCUCUUCUAGUUUAAAUUAAGUUCACUAUUCUCAUUAGGUUCCAAGCAUUCAUGCAUAUCAUUGUUUAGUCUUCAUCAUACAUUUAAUUUAGUUUUUAUUUAUACAUUAAAUUCUGCACUUUUCCUUAUUUUAAUUAAUUUUCCUCCUUUGUUUUAUUUUUAGCUUGUUUUAGAAAGAUUAAAUUGUGUAAGCUAGACUUAACACAUCGUUUUCUUGAAUUCGAUCCUGAGUUAUCUUUCCUACUACAUUAUAGGGAUAAUUUAGGUUUUGUCUACUCUAAGCGUGACUAAAACUGAGUUAACAAUGAUUUUUUAUUUGUAUUUCUUUCCGUGUAGAUAAUUGUUUGGAAGAUAUAUUGGUUAUGGCUGAAGAGAUCAAAACCCAAGGUAGAGAGUUUUUUAUCUUUUUGUUUCCAUCUCUGCAAAGAGAGUGUUGGUACUUUCAAUAAUUAAUACAGCACCACCCGAAACCUAAGGCAACAGGUCUGCCCUAUUUUGCGAAUGGUGUCUAAGGUGUGGCAAAUAAUCCAGGUUUUGGACCUUGAAACCAGGCCUGCCUCUUAAUGUCUACUAAUACCAAUUUGUUCCGCACAUUUAUAUUGGAUAGAUAUUAGCUUCUAGAAAAUGUUGUUAGUUAAAAAAGUAAAUUCUUCCAAUUUUCUUUGAUGUCAGUUGGAACCAUUUUUAUCGUCA